rnacentral:lncRNA from 1 species
CUUUCGGAGCUGUGCGGCAUUCUGAGCAGGAAUGGCAGUGUGGACCUCUGUGAUGGGACAUCUUGUGGGAUCUCACAGCCAGUUCUGUGGCAAAGGAGGAUGAAGGCUUACGAGGACUCGUCAGGAAGCUGGAUAACAGAGCGAGCGCAAUGUGCUAGAAUAGAAGACCAGAAAAUGAAAUGGUGGAGUUUGAGGCUGGAUAGACAGUUUGAAAGGUACAAAUAAUGGUUUGAAUAAAGAAAGGUAUUAAUGGGUCACCUCAAGUGAAGGCACUGCAAACACAAUGAUUGGUCAUUCUGAAUUUCCGGUCCUUCAUUCUGAAUUUCAAAGGCUCCUGUGACAAGUGGACAUGCAGUGACUGCACCUUUGUUUCUGAGGUGCCUGGAUGGAGGCUCAAAUAGAAGAUGGUGUCAGAUAUAUUGUGUUAAAAUUUUACCAUUAAAGUGUAUUAUAACAUGAA